AUUGAACGCUGGCGGCAUGCCUUACACAUGCAAGUCGAACGGCAGCACGGACUUCGGUCUGGUGGCGAGUGGCGAACGGGUGAGUAAUGCAUCGGAACGUACCCGGUAGUGGGGGAUAACUACCCGAAAGGGUGGCUAAUACCGCAUAUACUGUGCGCAGGAAAGCAGGGGACCUUCGGGCCUUGUGCUACCGGAGCGGCCGGUGUCAGAUUAGGUAGUUGGUGGGGUAACGGCCUACCAAGCCUGCGAUCUGUAGCGGGUCUGAGAGGAUGGUCCGCCACACUGGGACUGGGACACGGCCCAGACGCCUACGGGAGGCAGCAGUGGGGAAUUUUGGACAAUGGGCGCAAGCCUGAUCCAGCCAUGCCGCGUGAGUGAAGAAGGCCUUCGGGUUGUAAAGCUCUUUCGGACGGAAAGAAAUCGUGCAGGCUAAUACCCUGCGCGGAUGACGGUACCGUCAUAAGAAGCACCGGCUAACUACGUGCCAGCCGCCGCCGUAAGAC
rnacentral:rRNA from 1 species